UUUUUUUUCCCGUGGAUGCUCUAGCAAUAAAAUUUUCGGUUGAUCUUCCUCCUAUUUCCCUCCGUUUUCUCACACGCAAACCGCCGCAUCGACCAUCAUAACACCGCCAAAGAAUCUGCAAUAAAACAAGGUUUGCCGAGAUUUUUGAGAUAUCGAAUGGAUCCGAAACACACUGCAGAGAUAUUAAGACACUUGGAGAAGCAGGAUGAACUUCUUAUGGAUGCUUAUCGAUCAAUGUCGCAGGAAAUGCAUAAACUGCAGGUUGAGGAAGAAAUGUUAAUGCGCGCAUUUUAUGACCUCAUGGCAGCUCAAGGUCUAUCCAACAAGAAACAAACUGGCACAAAUGUUUCAGAAAAUAGUGAGCCAAAUUCAUCAAAGGCGUUGGUUGUUAUGGAUUCGGUAGAGAAACAGUGAAGAUCUUAAAUAUGGUCAUACUAUUGUCCUUUUUCUGUGUUUCAGUGUGCCUUGAGGAACCUUCAAAACGGAUUUAAAGUUACAGAGCAUUUGGACUAAGUUAAGUUAGACCUUAUGGGACAUCAAAACACAUAUGUUGAUGCUUCAUGCAUCUGAUUCUACAACUAGGUCAACAAAGAUCCUGAGCCACAAAUCCUGGUGCAGGAUGAAUGUCUCCGGAACAGCCUUGCCACACAGAGCACGAUAAGUUUCUUUGGUACAAUGAUAAACUAUGCCACUAGUUGAAGUCCCCAAAGUAGCCGAGUAUUAUGAAGGAGACUAUGGGUUCCUUCAAGAUGGUACUUAGCUCUGGAACCAAAUUCUGCAUCUGUAGUGAUUGUUAGCUUUGAUGCGAUUAUAAACCUGACUUGACCUUCUAGUGUAUUCUGGGGUAACUAUGUUGAAGAGGGAAAUAAAGCAGAACUGGUUGCCAGGAUCAUCGUCUGCAACAAUACCAUGGUUGAGCCAUUAAGAACGUGUGCGCAACUGUGCCAUUGACCAGCAUAAUUGUUAUACGCUGUUAGACCGAGACAGUUCUAAAAUCUGCUAAAUCACAUUAUGGUAGCUGCAAGUCUGCAACUGCUUUUUAACCUAAGGGUGACUUUGUCAAUGGAGGGUAAUCCUGAUCCCAAUACGUCAUCUAAGCUUAUAAACAGAGAUUUCACUUGUCCUUCCUGAGUGUUAAAUUUUCCUCACUCUCCUCAUAAUACCUGCAACUAUUCUUGUACUAUUGACUGACUUUAGUCCAUAGGGUUCGCCCAUGUGGUCCUCUAACGCCUUUUAUUUCUCAAGAUCAUCCAAAGAAUCAAAGAUGGUCUAUUCUACACGUGACACAUUCUUAUGUUUGAUUAAAAGCAAACUAGAUUACUUUUAAUGAAUUAGUCUCACUGACCUAGGGGUGGUGCUUUAACGUGAACCAGAUUAAGUUUACUGGUGAGACCAAAAAAAAACCCCCCAAACUUGUAUGUGUAAGAUUGGUUCGGUAUUUAGAUGUUUAAUUUCAGUUUAUGUAACUAGACAUGGCAUUGGUAAUCCGAUUUAAUGGACAUUUACUUUACCCAA